rnacentral:rRNA from 1 species
GACGAACGCUGGCGGCGUGCUUAACACAUGCAAGUCGAACGGGAUUUAGUAGACAGCAGCCUCGGCUAAAGAUUACUAAUGAGAGUGGCCAACGGGUGAGUCACGCGUGAGCAACCUGCCUAUGACAGUGGGAUAGCCCUGGCAAACCGGGAUUAAUACCGCAUAAAAUCGUAGAAACACAUGUUUCAACGGUCAAAGAUCUAUCGGUCAUGGAUGGGCUCGCGUCUGAUUAGCUAGCUGGUGAGAUAACAGCCCACCAAUGCGACGAUCAGUAGCCGGUCUGAGAGGAUGAACAGCCACAUUGGAACUGAGACACGGUCCAAACUCCUACGGGAGGCAGCAGUGGGGAAUAUUGCACAAUGGGGGAAACCCUGAUGCAGCGACGCCGCGUGAACGAAGAAGGUAUUCGUAUCGUAAAGUUCUGUCCUAUGGGAAGAUAAUGACAGUACCAUAGAAGAAAGCUCCGGCUAAAUACGUG